rnacentral:lncRNA from 1 species
GGAAGUGCGUCAGCGCCUCCCGUAUUUAAUGCCCUGCCGGAGCGAGAGCUCGCUGGCAUUUUGUUUGCAGCAGGGCAGGCAGUGGGUGGUGUGACUUGUGGCGCUGCACUUGAGUUUAGUCAAAAGGCCGAGUUAAAUGAUGCUUCAGUUAAAUAUAUUCUGUAGCAUGAGUGCAGUAAUGCUUUACCUACAUUCUUUAACUGCGGGAACAUAGUGCAUGUGGGAUUAUCUUUGUAAGGUAAGGCUUUUAGUUUCCCGGUUUUUACUAAGCACGUUCUUUUUCCUUUCACGAUUUAAGUUGUCGGCCUAUUGAGCGUGAUAUGUUCACUGCAGCUAACAAGUCUCUUGUCUUUCCCAGCUAAAUCCGGAGACCCAGCUCUUCCGAGAGGCGACACGUGGGGCCGUGCCGGGGGACAGGAGCUACCACGUGGCUCGCCGCUGGGAUGCCAGUCCACGGUUGCGGAAUUGAGUGAAUCCCCCGGCCUGGGCACAGGCGUGGUAGCGGCGCUCCAGACUGCAGGCGCGCAGGGUGUCGCUCCGGACCCCGGAGGCCGGUGUGGAGGAAGAGGCGGCCUAGCCGACGGGACUGGGCACAGAGGAACCAGCUCCUCCUGCUGAGGAAGGACAAAUCUGUUUGGAACCUGUUUAGCAGUGUCACCCGUUAUCUAAUAAACUGAAAACUGUGCCUUGGAUUAA